GACGAACGCUGGCGGCGUGCCUAAUACAUGCAAGUCGAGCGAAGUUUUUCUGGUGCUUGCACCGGAAAAACUUAGCGGCGAACGGGUGAGUAACACGUAAAGAACCUGCCUCAUAGACUGGGACAACUAUUGGAAACGAUAGCUAAUACCGGAUAAUAGCAUUAACUGCAUGGUUGAUGUUUAAAAGUUGGUUUUGCUAACACUAUGAGAUGGCUUUGCGGUGCAUUAGCUAGUUGGUGGGGUAAAGGCCUACCAAGGCGACGAUGCAUAGCCGACCUGAGAGGGUGAUCGGCCACACUGGGACUGAGACACGGCCCAGACUCCUACGGGAGGCAGCAGUAGGGAAUCUUCCGCAAUGGGCGAAAGCCUGACGGAGCAACGCCGCGUGAGUGAAGAAGGAUUUCGGUUCGUAAAGCUCUGUUGCUAGGGAAGAAUGAUUGUGUAGUAACUAUACACAGUAGAGACGGUACCUAACCAGAAAGCCACGGCUAACUACGUG
rnacentral:rRNA from 1 species